rnacentral:misc_RNA from 1 species
AGCAGCCGCGGUAAUUCCAGCUCCAAUAGCGUAUAUUAAAGUUGUUGCAGUUAAAAGCUCGUAGUUGAAUUUCGGGAUCAAUUUGUUGGUCGUGCCUCGGUACGUACUGGCAUUAUUGGUUUCUACCUUCUGAAGGACCUUGAUGUCAUUAAUUUGGUGUCUUGGGAAUC